rnacentral:rRNA from 1 species
CAGCUACGGCCAUAUCUAGGUGAAAGCACGACUUCCCGUCCGAUCAGUCAUAGUUAAGCACCUAAGAGCUAUACCCAGUAAUGCGGUCGGAGACGAUGCGUGAACAGAUAGUGCUGUAG